rnacentral:lncRNA from 1 species
UAUUUUUCAGAAGGGAAACCAGGAAAUGGGAUAACAUUAAAAAUGUAAAUAAAGAAAAUAUCCAAUAAUUUUUUUUAAAAAAAGAAAAGGAAAAAAUGAUAGUACAAGAUGAACAUAGAAAUUUUCCAACAGUUGGGACAGCCUUGAUAGGGCUGGUGACACAGAGCAGGAGGGUGUGGCAUGCAAAGACAGUGCAGUUCAUUCGGCAAACUCUUUUUGUACAACACACGGAAACAAGAGGACAGGUACAAUGAAGCCUGGGUAAUGCAACCAGAAAGGGUGGAAUGUUCUGUGCAUUCUGGGUCUACUGGGUUAGAGUAGUUUAAAUGAACUGUUUCUUUGUUGAUUUUUUUUUGUCUGCAUACUUUGUUAGUUAUUGAAAAGUGAGCACCCAGUUCCUCGGCUAUUCACAUAUUUGUAUUUAUCUUCUCCUAUACAGAUAAUACUUGCUUUAUAAAUUUAGGACGUUUGGUAUUGAGUACAUAAAUAUAUCUAAUUCCAUGUGUUCUUGAUGAAUUCAUCCCUUUAUUGUCAUAAAAUUCCAAUCUCUUUAAAAAUAUUUCUAUAUGUUCUUUGACAAUUCUGCACUUACAUACAAUAUAUGUUGAUAAUAUUCACCUCCAACUAUCUCAUCCAAUUCCCCCUGCUCUUCCCAGAACAUGACAACCCCGCCUGCACCCACACUGUCCUGCUACCUUCUAGUUAACCCACCAAGUGCAAUUAGUGCUGUCUAGCCAUAUUGAAAAAAAAAAGGCAGUCCCACCCCCAGGAUUCAUCAAUUGCCAAUACUUCCUUAACUAGAGGUGAAGCCUCAUGUGACUGUGUUCUAUUCAUGGCAAAUUUAUUGAUUGGACUGCUCUUAUGGAUGUAUGGAGGUCUUGUACAGGUUUUAGUUUGUAAGUGCAAAGGCCAUGUCAGGUCAGACAUUUGCUGCACUUCUGCCCAUCCUCCAGCUCUUACAUUCUUUCUGCCCUCUCCUCAGUGAUGCUCUCUGAAUGUUGUAGGAGUUAGUGUAGAUCUCUCAUUUAGGGCUCCAACCUCAACAGCCACUUAUUUAACCUUCCACUGACUGCUGCCCACUACAAAAAGAAGCUUCUCUAACUAAGGAUGACAGCAUCACUCACAUUGAUAUGAAAAAUAGAAGAUUGUUUGACACAUGUUUCUCCUUCAGUAGCUUGCAGAGCUCGUUCACCACUAUGAAGCUAACUAGCAGGAAAGAUGUUUCUAUGUCAGCUUCAGCUUCUUUUUGUCUAUGUGAUGCAAGCAAAUUCGUCUUCAGCAAUAGUCUUUUUGCCUUCUAGUUUGUGAUGGACAGGAAGAAACCGAUAACAAUAGCUUGUGUUGUUUGAAGAAGCAAGUGAGGCUCCCUUACCAAUCACUUGUAGGGAUGCAUACCACACCUGGCACAGAAAUAUUCACUUAAUAACCUAAGUAUGAUCCACCAAAACAGGACUCCUACACUCAAUUUUAUUUUAAGACUUAAAAAAAUAACUUACCAAGUAGUAGGCUUCUUCGUACAUUCUUAAUUUCGGUUAACCUACCUUCUAUCCUGCCAUUAGCUAUUCCCUGACUCAUAUUCACACUAAAUCUUUAACCCCCCAGUAUGACUCCUCCCCUUCCUGCUGAAGAAUGCUUCCCUCAUCUCUACCAUAGACCCUACCUAGCUUCCUGUUCACAAUAGAUGCUUCAAAUUAAGCAUACAUAUGUUGAAAUUCAAAGCUAGGAUGUCUUUUUACAAUGUUAUUUUAGUCUGUUUAAACUACACUAAACGGCUCAUCAAUUCUUGAUUUAUUUUUUUUCCAUUUACGUGGAGUAUUCUUUUCUAUCCUUUCACUUUUAGUCCAUUUAUGUCCUUAGAGAGAUAAGUCUCUCAUUUCUCUUUAUAUAUAUACAUAUAUAUGUAUACAUGUAUGUAUGUGUGUAUGUAUGCCUCACUAUGUAGCUUUUACUGGCUUAGAACUCAUAGAGAGCCACCUGGUUCUGAGUGCUGAGAUUAGAGAGAUGUGUCAUCACACCUGGCUUCAUAUAUAGUUGUAUAUAACAAGAGCAUAUAGUUGAUGUGAAAUUGAAUUAAUAAGCUUGGAGAAUAAUGUACUGGGAAGUUUCUCAGUCAGCAGGCAGGACAGAGGAGAGUUCAAACCAAACCAAAUAUAAAUGACAUAUCUAGGCAAUUAGGAUACUACUGACUUCAAUUUUUUUAUGUGUCUUUCUCAGUUUUAUUGUUUGGCUAUAGAAAAAAUUAUAUAUAUAUAUAUAUAUAUAUAUAUAUAUAUAUAUGCAUGUAUAUGUGGAAAGAUAUUUUUAAUGUUAAUUGUACUUAUGGCUGAAAGCAUCAAUCAGACAAAGAUGGAAAGCUGCAUUUUUUCUCCAUCGUUUUUAAUGUCUCACCUUUAGGUGACAUCUACUUUCG